UACAGAGGGUGCGAGCGUUAAUCGGAAUUACUGGGCGUAAAGCGUGCGUAGACGGCUAUCUAAGUCGGGUGUGAAAGCCCCGGGCUCAACCUGGGAAUUGCAUUCGAGACUGAAUAGCUAGGGUACGGUAGAGGGAAGUGGAAUUUCCGGUGUAGCGGUGAAAUGCGUAGAUAUCGGAAGGAACAUCAGUGGCGAAGGCAGCUCGCUGGGACGUUACUGACGCUGAGGAGCGAAAGCGUGGGUAGCAAACAGG
rnacentral:rRNA from 1 species